UUGUUGAAAGGCCAGUGUGACAGAGCUCUGGUCUGAGGAGUUCGGCGUGUGCGUGCGGCUCAUACCUGCUCGUGGAUUCGUGUAUACGUGGGUCAUGCUUUGGCAAGUGGGUGUGUCCGUGAGUGUGGCUGAGUACUGGGUUUCAGGUAGGCCUGGUGGGCGUGUCCUACCUAGAGGAUGGCCACACCUGAAGCAGAUGAUGACUCACACACCUGCAGCUAAUGGAGCGUCGUUGGGGAGCUUCUUAAGACUGUGGCUGAGCGCUCCUUGGCGUGGGAUUGUUGUGUGAGACUCCAUGAAGGAGCAGGGAAGACAAGAGCAGCGAGCACGGGGUGCAGGGACACACAGGAGCAGAAGAGCACGGAGCAUGGACUUGUGGGUGAAGACACGACACGGAAGUCAAGGGGAAAACACAGGGUUGAUUCUGUGACUAUUUACACCACUGUAAA